GACACAGGAGGGUGGCUGGGAUAUCUCCUGCAUACCUGGGUUCACAGAAACCUCCCUCUUACCUGCACUGUGCUGCUUCUCCUGCCUUCUUCAGAGACUGCGGCAGGAAGCUGAGGAGGAGGAAAAGGGAGGAAGAAGAUGAGGUUGUCAUCAUUUCAAGAGCCUAUUAAUUGUCCCCUCAUGCUCUCUAAGAAGUGGCCAUUUACCACAGGCCCUGUGAAUGCUUUCUGGAGAGAAAACACCAGGGAGCAUGGCAUGGGAGGAUGAGAGCCUCGAUGGAUUUGAAAGAGAAAAAACCCAGCCCACCGUCAGCAAAGGGAGAAAAUAGACCCAAAGAGAGAGAAGCUGAAAAUGUGCUGAAGCAGCUGAUGACAGCCCAAACAGCAGGAGAAGGCUCCUGCCUGCCAAUUAACGAGGCUCUGGUGCUAAUUUGCCACCUUGACUGCACUUCUGAGCUUGUCAGGAGAAGGGGGAGGAAAAAAAAGAUGAGGCUAAAAAAGAGGUUUUGGCUCAUCUCUUGGCUAUGCAGAUGCCACUGGGCUUCAGAGAGGCAGUGGGAAGCAGGGAGGCUGAUGGCAAACCCCACCACCCACGAGCCUGGAGUGUGAAGAGAACAAUGACAAGUUUGUGGGCUUGUGUUGGCAGAGCAGCUCCGGAGCAGGACACUGCCCAACCAGGGGAAGCUGGUUUCCUGGGGAUCACAUCCCACCAUCUGCUGGGUUAGUCGGGAGAGUGAGUGGUGAUCCCAUGCGUGCCCAGGGGCAUCUCUGGUACCUGUGGUGAAACUGUGUUAUAAGGAAGAAGCUGGAGCAGCCCCGUGCUGGCAUGGAGAGGUCUGCAGGCAAACUGGUAUCGCCUGCCUCCCCCAGAAAUGCUGUCAAACAGCAGAGCAGAUCUGUUGGCAGCUGCCUGGUGGUUCUGUGCACCUAACAGAGCCAGAGGAGCCCUGGGUAAAAUGCUCAGCAUGAAGCCUCCUGCCAAGCCAAACGUGUGAUUCCCACUUCUUGCCCAUCCUGCAGCCCAAACCAAGAGACCACGGUGAUGGAUUUCAAGCAGCAUCUGCACCGACAUGCAGUUUGCACGCAAAGAGAGUGUUACCCUCCUCAGCCCUCCCUCCUCUCCUGUGAUGUUUUAUUCCCUGCACAUUCCAUGUUCUCCCAGGCUGACACAGCAUCAGCUGGGAGCUAUGAGAGGGUAAACUGAGGCAGGCUGGAGCAAGGAUGCAGAUUUAGCCCCACAGCAUCUCUCCAUCCUGGCUCGUCAUGGAAAAACUGUCCUGGCUGUUUCGGCACAGCCUGAUGUGGUGAUGCCCUUGGCACACAGGGCUGGAGGCUCAGCCAGUGCUGCAGAAAAGGGAUGAAAACAGGAAGGGGGAAAAGGGUGUAAGUUAGACAGCUGGAGCUGUGAGCUGUUUGGUUCAGCUGUAGCCCAUCACUGGCAGUCUCAGGGUGGGACACGGAGGUGGGACCAGCCCCCAUCUGGGAGCCCUGAGCUCUUCCUGGGGAGAGCUCUGCAGAUAACCCCCUCCUGCUGCUGGGCCUGGGGGUGAAACAUCCCAGCCUCCUUUUCCCUGGCAGAGCUGCUGAAUAAAUGUGUCUGGAGGGAACUGAGGUGUCUGCAGUCAAGCAAGUGAGGAGCUCCGCUCGUUAUUUAAAGGCAGUUUUCUGGCUUUCAUGCUGCAGAGAAUCUCCUGUGAACACAGAGCCCAGCAGCAAGGCAGAGAAGCCUGGGGUCCAUCCCUCAGUGGACGCCUCAAGAGGCUCCAUGAGAUGCUGCCAAUCAUCCCAACAGCUCUUGCGUUCAUGUUCAGGACUGGGAGGCAAGGGAGGAGAGGUGGGCAAAGGAAGACAGAUGUGUGGAGAAGAGACAUCCAGGUGACAGAUUGAGGGAUGCUACAGCCACAAGAGCCAGGCUGAUGGAUUGAUAGAUUAGACAGGGAAUAUAAAUAGCAAGUGUGGUUUAUCUAUCCCAGUUUUAUUUUCCUCUCACCUAUCUAUUUAUCUCUCCUGGUGUUAUUUUACUCAUGUUUAUCUCUUUAUCUGCCCAGCCCGAGGAUGGAGGAGAGUCGGGUGACAGAAGCAGGAUGGAUGAGUUUGGGUUACCACUGCUUUUGCAGCAUCCAAGCAGGCAAGUC